CCGGCGCACGGGUGAGUAACGCGUAUCCAACCUGCCUCUGACUGAGGGAUAACCCGUCGAAAGUCGGCCUAAUACCUCAUGGCAUCGUCUGCGGGCAUCCAACGACGAUUAAAGAUUUCAUCGGUCAGGGAUGGGGAUGCGUCUGAUUAGCUUGUUGGCGGGGUAACGGCCCACCAAGGCUACGAUCAGUAGGGGUUCUGAGAGGAAGGUCCCCCACAUUGGAACUGAGACACGGUCCAAACUCCUACGGGAGGCAGCAGCG
rnacentral:rRNA from 1 species